rnacentral:rRNA from 1 species
ACGAACGCUGGCGGCGUGCCUAAUACAUGCAAGUCGAACGCAUUUUCUUUCACCGUAGCUUGCUACACCGAAAGAAAAUGAGUGGCGAACGGGUGAGUAACACGUGGGUAACCUGCCCAUCAGCGGGGGAUAACACUUGGAAACAGGUGCUAAUACCGCAUAAUUCCAUUUACCGCAUGGUAGAUGGAUGAAAGGCGCUUUUGCGUCACUGAUGGAUGGACCCGCGGUGCAUUAGCUAGUUGGUGGGGUAACGGCCUACCAAGGCUGCGAUGCAUAGCCGACCUGAGAGGGUGAUCGGCCACACUGGGACUGAGACACGGCCCAGACUCCUACGGGAGGCAGCAGUAGGGAAUCUUCGGCAAUGGACGCAAGUCUGACCGAGCAACGCCGCGUGAGUGAAGAAGGUUUUCGGAUCGUAAAACUCUGUUGUUAGAGAA